GAGCCAAACUUAAGCUCGACUCGUUUGCUAAGCUCGAGCUCAGGUCAUUUUAAUUAUAAACAAGCUUAAUUUAAUAUAUACAUAUAUACACACUAAAAAAGUAAACUUAAAUAAAAUUUUAAUUCAAUUAAAGUCUUAGUAUGACUAAUUUUAAGCCACAUAAAGAAUCAAGGAGGGAUUCUCCUUUUAUAAAGAAGGCAACCCCUCCCACUUCAUAAAAACUUCAUAUGCGGGACAAGGGAGCCAUAUGUUAGGCCUUCAGCACCUAGAAUGGUUUUAUAUAAGCAUGUUAAAUUAUUAGCUGACAUGAUGUUGUGGUCUAAUGGUGGAAGCAUGUAAUGUGUUGCUUGCUUGGCUUGGGUUCGACUCCUAGCUCGGGAAACUUUGUUUUUACUUUGGAUUUUGCAUUUUCUUUUUCCUUUUAAUUUCUUUUUUUUUUUCUUCAUCUCUUUUGUUUUUUCAUUUAGUUUCUUUCCUUUUUAUGUUCUUUUAUUUUCUUUGCUUAGUACAUGUCCAAAAAUUAUUUACUUUAUUGAGGUUCUAUUUUUAACGUUCUUGAAAAAAUAUUUAAUUUAAAAAUUGAUUAUAUAAUAUAAAUAUAUUAAUUAUUUAAAAUACUUUUAAGGUUUUAUUAUUAUUAUUAUUAUUAU
rnacentral:misc_RNA from 1 species